rnacentral:rRNA from 1 species
GACGAACGCUGGCGGCGUGCCUAAUACAUGCAAGUCGAGCGGACGGAUGGGAGCUUGCUCCCAGACCGUCAGCGGCGGACGGGUGAGUAACCCGUGGGCAACCUGCCUGUAAGACUGGGAUAACUCCGGGAAACCGGGGCUAAUACCGGAUAACUCUUUCCCUCACAUGAGGGAAAGCUGAAAGAUGGCAUCUCGCUAUCACUCACAGAUGUGCCCGCGGCGUAUUGGAUAGUUGGUGGGGUAACGGCUUACCAGGGCGACUAGGCGUAGCCGACCUCCGGGGGGGAUCGGCGACACUGGGACGGGGACAGGGACCAGAGGCCUAAGGGAGGGAGCAGUAUGGUAUCGGCGGCAAUGGACGAAAGUCUGACAGAGCAACGCCAAGUGUGUGAUGAAGGUGUUCGGUGCGGAAAACUCUGUUGUCGGGGAAGAACAAGUACCGGAGUAACUGCCGGUACCUUGACGGUACCUGAUCAGAAAGCCACGGCUAACUACGUG